UACGUAGGGGGCAAGCGUUGUCCGGAUUUAUUGGGCGUAAAGAGCGUGUAGGCGGUUUGGUAGGUCCGUUGUGAAAACUCGAGGCUCAACCUCGAGACGCCGAUGGAAACCAUCAGACUAGAGUCCGGAAGAGGAGAGUGGAAUUCCUGGUGUAGCGGUGAAAUGCGCAGAUAUCAGGAGGAACACCUAUUGCGAAGGCAGCUCGCUGGGACGUUACUGACGCUGAGACGCGAAAGCGUGGGGAGCAAACAGG
rnacentral:rRNA from 1 species